rnacentral:rRNA from 1 species
UGAGCGGCAACAGCUCAAAUUUGGAAUCUGGCCUCACGGUCCGAGUUGUAAUUUGUAGAGGAUGCUUCUGGCGACGUGCUUUCCGAGUUCCCUGGAACGGGACGCCAUAGAGGGUGAGAGCCCCGUCCGGUUAUGCGCCUAGCCUCUGUGAAGCUCCUUCGACGAGUCGAGUAGUUUGGGAAUGCUGCUCAAAAUGGGAGGUAUACGUCUUCUAAAGCUAAAUACCGGCCAGAGACCGAUAGCGCACAAGUAGAGUGAUCGAAAGAUGAAAAGCACUUUGAAAAGAGGGUUAAAUAGUACGUGAAAUUGCUGAAAGGGAAGCGCUUAUGACCAGACUUGGGCUCGGUGAAUCAUCCGGCGUUCUCGCCGGUGCACUUUGCCGUCCCAGGCCAGCAUCAGCUCGCGUCGGGGGAUAAAGGCUUCGGGAAUGUAGCUCCCUCGUGGAGUGUUAUAGCCCGUUGUGUAAUACCCUGGUGCGGGCUGAGGUCCGCGCUUCUGCAAGGAUGCUGGCGUAAUGGUCAUCAGUGACCCGUCUUA